CCUCUCCCUCAAGGGCUUCUCUCCUGCAUGCUUAUAUGUUGGGAAAGAAGCUCUAGCAGGGAGAGCCA